rnacentral:rRNA from 1 species
UUUAUGGAGAGUUUGAUCCUGGCUCAGGAUGAACGCUGGCGGCGUGCCUAAUACAUGCAAGUCGAGCGAACGGACGAGAAGCUUGCUUCUCUGAUGUUAGCGGCGGACGGGUGAGUAACACGUGGAUAACCUACCUAUAAGACUGGGAUAACUUCGGGAAACCGGAGCUAAUACCGGAUAAUAUUUUGAACCGCAUGGUUCAAAAGUGAAAGACGGUCUUGCU